GAGGAUGGGGAUGAAGUCACUGACAGUCGGAGUAGAGUCUAUGAAGUACCCACUCAGGGAGAUUUUUUUGAGAUAAGUGACAUCCCAUCGCUUUUGCUGUAUUCUGUUCGUUAGAAGCAAGUCACCAGGUCCAGGCCACGCUGAAGGGGAAGGGAUCACACAGGAGGCAAGAAUCAGUGAGAGCCAUUUCAGAAGCUGCCUGGGACACAGUGCCUCGUACAUAACACAGAGUGGACUUUUCACUUGGCUGGGGAGCUGUGCUGAAGAAACUGCCCGGGAGGCCAGACGGCAUGUCUGUGGUGGGUCGGAUCUCUCAGUGUGAGAGGAGAAGAGGACAAAGCUGACUGGAUGGUGGACGAUAGUUGCCCUUGUAUGGAGGCUGGCUGUAGAAGGAAGAGAACAGUGCUGGGGAGUUCUGCAAGCUGAUUUAUUACUGGACCCAUUUCAGUAGACUGUGACACUUCGGCGACCUGCAAAUUCUACACAUUAGAGUUCAUAUUUUACACAAAUGCCGGAUCCCCAAGCCGUGGACUCGCAUUCCUCCCGGCAACAUCCAACUCCCAGCAGAAGACAUAGACCCUGUCUGAGGAUGAAAGCUCCUAAUGAAGAUGCAUUACAGAUGAUAUUUAUGGUUAGCCCCCUAGGAAAACAAAAAUGAUUCAUGAAUAAUUUCAUGGAAGUCACACCAAAAAGAGAGUAAUAAUUUUCUCAAGUCCACGUUGUCCUUUGGUUCUCUGUGGGCCACUUCUAGUCCCACAAGUCACCACAGCUUCACUUCAAAAGGAUGAGGCAGGACAGGGGGAGAGGCUGUGUGUUAACCUGGCUUGGGAACUACCACGUAAUGAAAACCGCUCAGCACCCAUGAUUGAUUGUAUCCAGUCAAAGCAGAGCUUCUCUUCUUCAUGUGUUACUGGAAGGCUGAAGCCUACUCUUGGGCGGGCGGCCUGUGGUUCCUCUGGCAGAGGCAUCGUUAUAGAAGACACCCUCCCCCAGCAAAGGGAACCAUUGGUGACAGAGCAAGGCAGCCAAAUGAAGGGGCAGGAGCAUUGGUCUGCAUCUGGGCCACAGGAGCUAGGAGCAGCUGAGGAAUCAGGUGGGACGAUGGCAAGAGAGGUCAAGAUGGAGAACUCGGCCCGGCCGGGCCCCAGCUGAAGAGUGAAGAAAUACCGUUGGGCACAAGAAAGAAGCUAUGAGCACUCACUCGGGAUCCCAGGGACCCAGCAGGGCCACCGGUGCAAAGAAGGCGCUGACCACAAUUCUUUGGCAGGACUGAAUGAAUGGUUGUGUGAAUGAGUUCGCAGGGCAGACGGACCGAGACUGCCUCCCCACCAGCCACCCAGGCCCAGCAUGCUUGGAAGCUACGUUUCUUGAUGAGUGUUUUCCUGUUUUAUGAAUCUUUGUCUGUCUCUAGAAGCCCAUGUUCCCUUCUGGUAUCAGGGCACAUCUGGUUGUUGGUGCAUGUUGCUUCGUUAGAAACUCUUAAAACAGCAUGAAAUUGUUAGCACGUUGCUCCUGCCUGCCAAGCUGUUCUCGAGACUCAAGCUUUGGUGGAUUUGGUCUUCUGUUUGUUUUUUGUUUUCAUGCAGUUUAGAAAAUUGGUCUGU